CAUUUUAAUAAGGAGAGGUCCACUAAGUAAACCAAAUUAUUGAAUUAAAUGCUUUUCUGGAAAUGUACUUCAUGAAGAUGCUGAACUCUCCUAAUAACAACCAAGUCAUUACUAAUUUAAUUAUUUUGAUUCCUCCUAGCCCACACACAUAUGUUCAGGAUAAAAAAGAGCAAGAAUAGCUCACAUACCAUGUGAACCACUUUUGGGAAUCAGAUGUGUACAUUCCAAAGUAAAAUGACUUCAGUGUAUAUAUACAAGGAUGAUAAAUGUCCUGCUGAGUACAGUGGCAAAACAACAAGAAGAACCGUAAAGCUCCUGCACAUACUUAUAUACUGAAUAGGACCAUGAAAAAGUGCUUAAGCUCAAACAGUCUUCAAGAAUGUUAAGAUAGAACAAAAUUCCAUUUUGUGGGAGACUAUCCACACAGUCACAAUGUGGGCUGGACUUAUUUAAUGAUCUGGAGCUCUGAGGUAUGCAAACUAUUUAUUUAGAUAUCUAAUUUG
rnacentral:lncRNA from 1 species